rnacentral:rRNA from 1 species
UUGACCUCGGAUCAUGGUAGCAAUACCCGCUGAAUUUAAGCAUAACCAUAAAACCGAGGAAAG